rnacentral:lncRNA from 1 species
ACGGGUAUUUACAAAUACUAAGCAGAGUUGUUUUAUUUCAUACUUGAAUACAUGGAUUUUAACAUGUUUGUAUGUACAAUAAACAAAAGCCAGUAUGGUAAAUGGAAUUGUGGGAAAGCCGCUCCGAAUGAGAGAAGGAUUAUUGAAAGCAAUCGCCCUCUCUCUUUUUUUUAGAAUGAGAAGUUGCACGUGGAUAGGCCUGAAGGGAGCCACUCUAAAAUACUGUUAGACAUCGAACACAAAGUUCUUUACUUCAUGUACGAAGGCUCCCGAUCCUCUUAUGAAUUCAAUCCCUUCGCCUUUCUAAACCAGCAUGUGAAUGGUCUCCAGGCACAUGGUGCGAACAUUCAACUUGUUUUUGAGGGGUCGGGUGGUGGAGGGCGGAGACAUGGGUUUGAUUUUGGGCUACCUUCGAAUCUUGUUGACUAUUUUGUUGGGCCGGGGUUGGAGUAAUUGAUUCAGCAACUUAUCGAGAACAAUCCCAAUGGGUAUUGAACCCUACCUACAUCUUAAGUCUGCGAUGGAUGGGUUACCAAAUAUAAAGAUCACGGAUAUUGGCCACAGAUUCACGCUAGUGUGCCGUGUACAAAGACAGAUAUGAGUUAACCGAGGAAGCAAAGCAAAUGCCUUGUAAACAUAUCUACCAUAAUGAUUGUACAUUACCUUGGCUUGAGUUGCAUCAUUCUUGUCUAGUUUGUAGAUAUGAGUAACACAUUGACAACCCAGAUUAUGAAAAUCGAAGAAUUGGGCAAGUGAGCUAUAAUAGCAGGAAUAGUAACAACAAUAAUUUAGGCAUGGCCUCAGGUGGUAGAGGUCAGAAGACGGGCACUAAUGAUAAUAAAUUACUAAGAACAUUGUAACGGAGAUUUAGGAUUUCACUGCCAUGGAUUUUCAGAGGUCUUGAUUCCCCAGCAGAGACGAGUAGUAGUCGAGGUAGAGCUGGCAGUAACCAAGGAGUGAAGGCCGACAACAAUGAGAAUAGUGGGGCAUCACAUGCAGGCUCUGGAGGAGGACCGGCUAGAGAUUGAGGACCUGGACUAAAGUGUGUCGAUUAGCUUCAAAUUACACAUUGAGAAAAAAUAUCAACACGAGUCGAGUUUAGGUCUUCAACCUAAAUCACGAGGGUUCAAAGUACAUAGUUUCACAAAAAAGCAUUUAUAAAUACACAAAACCAUAUACAAAUUGUUGAACCACAAGCAUGAUAUCAAGAGAGAACUGUUUUCAAAAUUUGUCAAUACUCAUUUAUGAAAAUUACGUAUGCAUCGGAAAUGUUUCAAUGAAAAUAUAAAUCUUUCUUAAACCCAGUUAAUAAGUUUCCACGAUCAGCCCAAAAUUCACAAUUUUAAGCACAUAUUUAUACAAAAAAGUAGCAGGGAACAAAACUUGAUUCAAUGUACAAACACAUAUAGACUGUAAUAAGCACAUACGAAAAGAAGGGAAAAAGGUAAUCGGGUUCUAUUCAAUUUCUUCAUUUUUCACUCAUCUUGCCACAAAUAGCCCGAAGGUUUCACUGCAAAAUUCCCACAAUUUGUACUCGUUUCUCCAAAGAUUUUCAAUAUGAAAAGCAAAUCUAGAAUAAAGUUUCCAGAUCUAGAAAAAAAAAAACAGAAGAGGGCAAAUGCAACACAACUUACAGGAUUUAUUACAAUCUUCAGACAUUCCCAAAACUGUAAGCCACAGUGAAACAAUCGCUACAAUUUGAAGCUCAGGCGGAAUGAAUUAUAGACACAGAUUUGAAGUUUAGCCGGAAAAGAGAACAAAUUUUCCACAAUUUAUACUCAAUUCUCCAUAGAUAUUAAGAACUGUUUCCACAUCUAGAAAGAAACAGAAAAAAGGGAAGCCACCAAAUGAAUAGGAACACUUAUCUCUUGGAUGAAAAAAAAUUGUAUGAAAAGCCACUCACUUCCAAGCGGCUUAGCUAACCCAGUUCCAUCCAAAAUGACUAAGCCGACCAACAAAAGGCUUGUGAACAGUAAUCACAAACUGCCUCUU